UGGGGGAUAUUGCACAAUGGGCGAAAGCCUGAUGCAGCGACGCCGCGUGGGGGAUGAAGGCCUUCGGGUUGUAAACUUCUUUUGCUCUGAACAAGGCAUGCCUUUGGGGUGUGUUGAGUGUAGGGGUUGAUUAGCGCCGGCCAACUACGUGCCAGCAGCCGCGGUAAUACGUAGGGCGCGAGCGUUGUCCGGAAUUAUUGGGCGUAAAGGGCUUGUAGGUGGCUGGUUGCGUCUGUCGUGAAAGCUCAUGGCUUAACUGUGGGUUUGCGGUGGGUACGGGCUGGCUUGAGUGCAGUAGGGGAGGCUGGAAUUCCUGGUGUAGCGGUGGAAUGCGCAGAUAUCAGGAGGAAUACCGGUGGCGAAGGCGGGUCUCUGGGCUGUUACUGACGCUGAGGAGCGAAAGCGUGGGGAGCGAACAGG
rnacentral:rRNA from 1 species